rnacentral:snRNA from 17 species
AUACUUACCUAGUUCAGAACACCUGAGAUCAUGAAUUCAGGUGUUUACUGAGGGGAUUGAUCCAUUGCACAUCCGGAUCUUUUCUUUCUGUUGAAGUUCCUUCGGGGGUUUCUUGGAUGUAAUUUUUGUCUUUC